rnacentral:lncRNA from 1 species
CUUGCUUCAUUUAAUUAGGUUUGGAUAGUGGGAGAAAAAUUGGGUGAAGGCAUUGGUAGUACAAGGAAAGAAGUACAACAUCAGGCUGCAGAAAUAUCUUUAAGAAAUUUGGCAAGUAAGUUUGUUUUAUUGCAUAUUUGUACUAACCUCUCCAGUUUCGUUUUUGCAGAUAUAAGAUAAUAUGUUAUGUAAUCAAGAGAUUCGUUUUAAAUUUGGAUUGUUCACAUGUUUACUCGAAGCAUAUAUGCUCUACUGUGUGGAGUUGAUUUUUCCCUUUUUAGCACCAUCUAUCUUGGAAUUGGAUUGGAUACUCUGAGAAUAUAAUGAUGACUAUUUCUUGAUGGGUACUUGCUGCAUGAUUUUUCCACUGCAUGUCAAAGCUUACAUGUGAAAGGAUCUUGCUUGAUUCCAUUCUACUGGUUCAUUGGAUGAAUAAACUCACACCUUUCAUGACCAAACUGUCAGCUGAUGUUUCUAAUAAUUCUUAUUUUGUCUUGCAGGAGAUUAUGGAGUGUAAUUCUUCAGAUGUACAAAUGUCACAUUGUGCUGAGGGUUCCGAGACUACAAUAGAGACCAAAAUCAAGACUUUGGAUUCUCAAACAUACAAUUUGCAUGUGAAUAAAUGUGUAAGUUGACAAUCCAUGCCGUAUCACAGCGAACCAUGGUGUUUGCAUUGUUUGUGUGGUUUUGUGCUGUACUAUGUAAAAACUCGGUUGUUUGCAUGCAGUAUUUAUUCAAAAUUAGUCAGAUUCCUGCGAUGUUCUCCUAUUUGUUCUCAUUGAAAUUACUGUUGCAUUUUUGACAAGAAAUUUACAGAUAACUGUAUGGCAAUUUUCUUCUAAUUCCCGUAAGUAAUUUUGAGAACACACCAGUACAUCCAUAUUUCAUAAGCAAUGUGUUAGUUGGAUGCCACCUCGGUGGGAUCGGCCGCCUGCGUCGUGUAGUGAGGAGGGGAAGGUGGAGAGAUGGCAGAUGUAGGGGCGGACUGGUGUAGGGGUGGCUGCGGGAGAAGAUGGGACCUCUCCUCUCCCCCGAGUCUAUUGCGGCCGCCUCUCCUCCCAUGUCACUAGGGCCUCGCCCUCACUAGGCAUCGGCAACCUCCCAGCCCUCCUUCCCCGUGCAUGGCUUCCCCAGGAAACUUUGCCUAGGCUUGCGUAUUGUUGCUUUUCGUCAAUGCAUCAAGACACAAUGCCUUUGUGUUUUCUGUUUGAAAAUGAUUAUCUCUUGUACUCUGCAGUCUUCCUUUGGAUUUUUUUGACUACUAUGAUCAGAUUUCAUAUGUCAGCAGCUCUUGCAAUAAUCACCCUUCAUGGUCAUCACAUGAAAGUUCUAAUGUUUAACUGAUUUCAGCAACUCAGAUUUUAGAGUCCUGAAUCAACUUCUAAUGCCGUUCACUUUGAAAUCCACCCAGAUAAGGUCAAGCAAUCAAGGUGAAGUUGGGGUAUGCAAGUACACCGUGGGAGGAUACAUCUGUGAGAUGUAUUUAUAAAACCUUCUCGUGUCUUGUCUUCAUUUUCUAAUUUAACCCUUCUAUGGUUAACCAUAAUUAACCAUUGAAUUAUUCCAUGGCAUUUCCAUAUUUUUGUUGCAAUUUAUGUUCUGAAGCGAAUGCUGCCACUCUUUAUUGCUGUUUCUCGACAUAUGAUUCUUGUAUGUAAGUUUUUAGUUCAAUGUAACAUGUUAACGGAUGCCUUAAGUUUGCUCGUAUAGCAUAUGCUUUCAUAUUUUGAUUUGAUAUUCAGUAGAUCAAAUUUGUUGUAUCUAUAUCAGGUAUAUCUUCUUGUUAUGCUAAUCUAGCAUGGCACAUUUCGUAAAUGAUUUCCCAUUUGUUUCUACUACUUCUGUUUUGAUGUAGCUUUUCAGUUGUUCAUGUGCGCCAUUUAUGAUCAGGGAUGCUCGAGUCAUGUGGGAUAAUAAAACCGGACACUCCAGAGGUUAUGGCUUUGUCUUAUUCUGCAGUCAGCAGGCAUGCACAACUCAGAUCAUUUCCCUUUUGCAUUUUGCAGUAGCUUUACCAUUUUGAUGGCAUGAGUCAAAUACCCUCGAUGUAAUAUUUUGGUGUCUGAGUGAUACCGAUGGCUUUUGCAAUGCCUAAAUUUUAACUCGGUGAAUUAUAUUUUUCUUGUGUUACCAAUCAAGGAUCCUCUCUUCUCUCGGAAUAUCGAUGUUUCUUUCUGACAUUUCUCAAAAGCGUAUCACAGCCACCUUACAUUUUCCGUGUCAUAUGGAAGGUCUUCUUUGUUAAUUGAGUGAAUAUUUUUCUUGUAGUUUUACCUUUGGUUACUUCUAUGUCUCAUUCUGUUGAUUUACGGUACAAUAAUUAUAUGUAUUAGCGUUAGGUCCUUGCAAAGAAAAGGUCAUCUUUGUGUAAGUGAUUCUACUCAAUAUGUAAUAAUGUUUUUACUACAUGAGAUGGAACUGGGCUUCCGGUUAAUAAGGAAUAUUCUAACAACUGUCUAAUGCAUGCUGAUUUUUAGUAUUAUAUGUUUCCUAUUGGCAGGUUCUUUCUGUUGAGCCACUAACAUAAGCAAAUUAGGUGUGAUUGUUAACAACAACAUUUUAUUUAUCUGUAAAUUGCAGGCACUGGACAGGUUUAAUACAGCAGUUGUGUCACCAAUAUAUUACGUGAUGUUUACUUUGUUAUGCUUGUUCUUGAUAAGAAAAUCAAGCAUUUGGCAUCUAUUGCAAUCUGGAGAUGAUCCAUAUGUGGCCUAAUUUUCUACUACUGAAUCACAAUGCUAUGUUGUGAUUACUGGCAGCAAGAGUCAGCAUGACCGCUCAUUCUGUAUGCUUUAAACUAUUUUAUUGGAGUUUACUAAUUCCAUGUACUGGAAGCAACAGCCUACAAGUUUGAUAUGUGAAAGGUUUAUUAUCUUAUAUCUUGCUUGUGUAGUGUAGGGUGGUUCGGAGGGCACCCGAAGAGAGAUCGUAUCAUAUUUCCUAUCAGUUGUUCUCUGGAUCUUCUCCCCUUCACAUAAGUAACCACACAUUCAUAUGAAGGAAUUCAUAUCUCUUACAUAUCAUUGCAUCUCACACAUAUAUAAUUACUUGAGCCAGGGUUCUUGCUUGAGAAUUGAUGGUGUUGAUGAUGCCAAAGGAUUUUCAUCAUUAUUGGUAAUGUUGCUACAAAUCAACCACAACUUUGAAUAGUAUUGAUAUAUACAGUUCGGCCUCUUCUCUGUAGACUUUAAAGGAUGGAGAAAAAAGAAUGCUCUAUGAUCAGGUAACAAUUUAAGCCCUCUGAUUACACAUGUCUAUGUUUCUUUGACUGCCAAAGGCUAUUUAUUUUUGUAUGUUCAGGAGUUACAAAGAAUUUAUUGCUUGAAACUUAAGAUAAUUAGACAACAAUACAUUUUGACUAAUUGUCUGAUUUUUGUUUGCCUAUACUGUUUGCAAGAGUCAUCAACUUGUCUAUUCUUUUAUUGAAUUCUGCGUAUAACAAAUUAUUAGGAAGACUUCUCAAAACGUGUAAAUGAAUCGAGAUCAGCCAUCUAUCUCCAACACCAUGCACCAAUGCUUGCAACUCACGCAAAUGUACUUUAUCGUGCGCACAUGUAUGACCUUACCGCUGUCGUUGUUAUUCUAUUUUUUCUAAAAAAAACUGAUGUCAUUAGGCUCUAAAUUUGUAGUAACUAAACAUCAAAUACAUACUGUAUCUCAGUUUGCCAAUAUUUUGGUGGUCUCUGCAAUGUUGUUUGCAGGAUUGCCGAUUUUACUUUACAAAGAGUAGCAUUUAAAAAGCGAAUGACAUUUGAUAAAUUGCUGAAAGGUGGUGGUUGCACACUAUGGGGGACAGUGUCCAAGAGAGGGCUCGGAGAUGGUUAGAGGUUAGCUACUGUUCACUAUCUAUCAAUCCUAUCUUCAUGUACCUGUGUGUGUUUGGUACAGUACUUGAUCUCUUAUGAUUUAGGGAGCUCUUCAGAUCUAAGAAGAAAUUGAUGUAAGAUUUAUUUUCAUAUUCUUGGAAACUCAUGCUAUGGAGAAUCAUAAUGAUAUUCUCAUUGUACAGGCGGUGCAAGGUCUAACAUGAUUGUGCUGAUGCUCUCUCCUUUGUAGAGGACCAUCCCGAUGUCUGGGUUUCGGCAUGGUGGUGAGGUGCCUGAGGUCACGGCUCUGAGUCAGGAACCUCUUAUUGAGCGUGCCAGUACUUCAUGGUGGUGACGUAUGUCUCGAUGAUAGUCCAGUUUGAUAAAAUGCCAAUAGGAGCAGGUCUGUGAAGCCAAUAUGAGCCGGUCAGUAAACUAGUGAUGCAGUCUCACUGUUCAUCGUCUCUAGACGCACCUAUAUGAUCCAUGUAUCUAGUUUCUCUCCAAAACUUGUGAUGCCUGCGUUGUGAUGAUCCGAGGAACUCUGCCUCUAUUUUGGAGAUCGCCCAUCUUUUGGAGACCGCUGAACUUUGAUUUGAACCGAUGAAUGUGUCUUUGUGAUCAGUCAUCCACUUUGUAAGAUUGUCAAAUCUCUGUUAAGCUAUCAGCAUAGAUGAAACUACUUGCUUGCUCUGCUUUAUGAAUGAACACUCUUCUACUGCAGUUCUAUUCUCUGUAUUAUAUUUUUAACCAU